rnacentral:rRNA from 1 species
GACGAACGCUGGCGGCGUGCUUAACACAUGCAAGUCGAACGAAGUGGCGAACGGGUGAGUAACGCGUAAUCAACCUGCCCUUCAGAGGGGGACAACAGUUGGAAACGACGGCUAAUACCGCAUAAUGAAGGUGGGGAUUGCGUGGGAUUAGCUAGUUGGGGGGGUAACGGCCCACCAAGGCGAUGGUCAGUAGCCGGUCUGGGAGGAUGAACGGCCACAUUGGGACUGGGACACGGCCCAGACUCCUACGGGAGGCAGCAGUGGGGAAUCUUCCGCAAUGGACGAAAGUCUGACGGAGCAACGCCGCGUGAGUGAUGACGGCCUUCGGGUUGUAAAGCUCUGUUAAUCGGGACGCGGUACCGGAAUAGAAAGCCACGGCUAACUACGUGCCAGCAGCCGCGGUAAUUC